UAAAAGUUUUAUUUUGUCUUUGUUUAUUAUGAUAAGAUUUAAACUACAUGAAUAUUUUUGUGUUAUAACUUUAUAUAGAGACGUUAAAUUAGAUUUCAGUGUUUGUAAUUAUUUUAUGUGGGAGAUCGUGAAAUAGAUAUUAUUUAAGUUUUGAGUAAAGUUUGUGCCAGCAGUCGCGGUUAUACUUAAAAAACGAGUAAAAUUUUUAAGGAAUAGUUAAAUUAGUAAUUUUUUUUUAUAUAUAAAAAUAAAAAGUGAAAUUAGUUAUUUGGAUUAUAGUUAAAAAUUUAAUUUAAGUUGAAGCUAAAAAAUUUUAAAGUUAAACCAGAAUUAGAUACUCUGCUAUAUUAAAAUAUUAUUUAAAUUCUAAAAUAUUAAAAGUUAAGUUCUUUAAAUUUAAAAAAUUUGGCGGUAAUUUAGUCUAGUCAGAGGAAUCUGUUUUAUAAACGAUAAACCACGAAAUAUCUUACUUACUUUAAAUAACAGUUUGUAUACCGUCAUUAUCAGAUAAAUUUUAAAAAAUAUUAUUAUAUUUCAUUUAAAUGAUAAAAAUUAGAUCAAGGUGCAGCUUAUAGGUAAGUAAAAAUGGAUUACAUUAACUAAAUAGUUAUUAAUAAAUUUUUAAAUAAAUUAAAAAAUUGGAUUUGAUUGUAAUUGAGGUUUAAUAAGCCUAAAUUAUAUAAGCACUAAAUUGUGUACAUAUUGCCCGUCGCUUUCAUAAAACAUGAAAUAAGUCGUAACAUAGUGGGUUUACUGGAAGGUGAACUUAGAAAGUUC
rnacentral:ncRNA from 1 species